AGCCGUUUCACAGUUUCAUCCAUAAUAAGGACAUUCCGACUGGAAAACAGGGUGGCUAAUGCUCCUUUUCCAACAAAAGUGGUAGUUUUGUGAAACAUACCGUGACAACGUGUUGAGAUGUUUCAGUACUGUGUAUGAAUGGCUGGAAGACCUACUGGGAGUGGACGCCAACGCCUGUUCACCCAACAGCAGGAACUUGCCAUAGUGAACAUUAUCAGAGGUUGCUCUGGUCCAGAACUGCUUCACCAACCAUGAUCACUUUGAAGUUCUGUACUUGCUGUACUUACUUACACAAGGGGAUAUUUUCCCCGAUGCUUAGCGAGAG
ensembl:lncRNA